CUGCGUGGAUUCAUGGAGCUCUCCGGCGGAUACGUACGGGCGACCGAGUGAAGCUUGGCUGCAGGGUGGGUGGAGCCUCGACGGCGGUGAUGAAGCUGCGCGUCGGCGGCGAGCCCGAGGGUUUCGGAGGGGGUCGAAUCGAAUGGGACGGGGGGAGGCGGGCGGAAAGGAGAGUCGGCCGAGACUUCAAUAACGGAUCCAGCGGAUGGCUCUUUGGGCGGGAAUUCGGAAAACGGGAUCCCCUCCCCCACUCGCGUUGCUCUAAACCCUUUCCCGUUAUGCUCAACAGUUGCGGGAGCUCCGCCUUGAGAGCCGGUGCACGUGCUCCUGUAGUAAUUUUUUUUUUUUGACAGCAGCUCUUUGCAGCAGUAGUAAAUACAGUACUUGAUCUUAAAGAGCUUUUGAUCUAAACACACUUUCUAGACGGUAGACGGUGCAAAGAGCGGAAACGUAUCCUGGACGUCGCGUUGUGGGCCGAAUCCAAGCCGUUCAUCACGAAACAAAGGGUCCUCGUGGAGGUCCACAAGCCGACUCACCAAUACGCAAAGUCGCAAAAGCAC
rnacentral:lncRNA from 1 species